UACAGAGGUCUCAAGCGUUGUUCGGAUUCAUUGGGCGUAAAGGGUGCGUAGGUGGCGCCAUAAGUCGGGUGUGAAAUCUCGGGGCUUAACUCCGAAACUGCAUUCGAUACUGUGGUGCUUGAGGACUGGAGAGGAGGCUGGAAUUCAUAGUGUAGCAGUGAAAUGCGUAGAGAUCAUGAGGAAGACCAGUGGCGAAGGCGGGUCUCUGGACAGUUCCUGACACUGAGGCACGAAGGCCAGGGGAGCAAACGGG
rnacentral:rRNA from 1 species